CUCUGUUUUACCCGAUCCCAUCCCCACCAAUUUCAACACACCCCAACCAUCAAAUUCACCCCCCACAGCCCAGCACCCUAGCCACAGAACUCAACCCAGAUGCUGCUUUCUCGCUCUCUCUCUCUCUCUCACUCAUUUGAGAGGUGCAGACUUUGAGAGCCUAGAAUUGUUAGCUGAUUCAAAUAUCAAUUAAAGGUCUUUUCAUAUUGUUAAUACUGAAAAUUUGGAGGUGGAUCUGCUUGGGAUCUUUUGAUUGUGGGGUAGUGACUGUUAAAGAAACAAAGAGGGAAAAUAGAGAAGAAGGAGGGGUGAGCUGGUGGAGGCGAAGAGACAGAUGAUGGGGUGAGAAGCAUACUUAGGACGUUUUGAGCAGGAGCUCAAAUCUGUGGAGGCUGAGAGCACCAAGAACCCAUGGGGAAGAGUUUAAUCGACUUGGCACUGAUCUUGCACAGUUGAAAUGUUCGUUAGAUUUUGUUGAAGAAAAGGAUCUGGAGAAAGCAAAACUGGGUGCAGAUGUUGAUUACCAUAAAUGUGGGAAAGAUCUGUUGGAUCCGAUGAAUGUGAAUUCAGAUAAGUUUGAGGAAAUCUUCAUUGCAGUGGUUUGUAACAAAAGUGCAAGACAGAAUAGUUCUAUGCGCCAUGAGGCUACUAGUGGUGAAAAAUGCAAACAAAUCAAGACACUCAUUGGAGUACUUGGAUAAAGAUGAGACAGUAGUGGCUCAUGUGGUUGGAGGAGUUGAUGCAUUCAUCAAGGUCCCUCAAGGUUGGCCAUUGUUGAGUUCUCCAUUGAAACUGAUAUACCUCAAGAGCUCUGACCAACAUUCAAAGGGAAUUUCUUUUAAGUUUUCUGUGCAAGGUUCAGGAAUUGGCAAAUUCGUUGGCUGUACGAAUUCGGCAGACUCUAUCGAGUUUUGUGGAUGCUGUUGAAAAAAUACUUGUAGAGCAUUGUUGGUCAUAUACAUCUUGUACUGUUGUACACUAACAAAUUGAUUAUGAUCUUGACUUCUGGUUAAAAGAUGGAUGGGAAGGAGGUCAUGACUUCUUUUGCUCAUGAA